UUUGGGUGGCUCAUUAAGUGGUAUAUGUUUUUCUCUCCUUUAUUAGUGCAUCCAAUAUUUCAUUCAAUUUGGUUUACCUAGGCAGAAAUAUAAAUUUUGGAAAUUUUAGUUAACGUUUUAAUCAAGUGUUUGUUGCUUUUUGAUCAGUGGCUGUGAAAGAAAUAGUUUAUUGAGACAUAGAUACUUGGCAUAACAUUUUGAUGAUUUGAAAUAUGGUUAUGAGGCACUGUGCUUAAAUUUAUUACUAGAAGAAAAUAAAAUUGAAAUUGACAUUAAGUGCAAACAUGUCCAGCACAUUUUUAGUCAGCACAUUAUCUGCAGGAUUCUUUAUUUGUUUUCUGAAUUACAUUAGUCCAUUAGCUUUGUUCACGAGUAUCUUACAUAUAUGGUGAAUGUUUGUUUAGUUACAACAGCAGAAUUGAUGUAUUUAUGGUUUUAGAUGUGUCAUUUUGCUUGGUUUGGAACACUUGGUGUGUGGUUAAGUUUUUAUUUGUGGCUGUCUCCUUACAUUUCACAUUCACAUUGCCGCAAUAUCAUGGCAAAUGGCAAAUUCAAUGGACUUAUGGUUAUAGUGCUUUGAUCCUGUGAGAGGAAUCUUCAUUCUUCAGUUUUUAUGUUUGAUAGUGGCAGUGUCUUCAUGAUGACUUGGAUACUAUUUGUCUGGUCAAUUUCUUGAGGAGAAGUAUUUAGAAUGCUACAUGUUACUGGGGUUGGCUUAUGAUCUGCACUAGUUGUUGCCUUAAUCAUUGCAAAGCUUAUUAUUGAGUUUUAUGGUUGAUUUUUAUUAUUCUUUCUUUCUUCCAGGGAGUAGAAUGUAUUAUCAGGCUCAAUAGGAUCGAUCAAGAGAAAGCAUUUUCCACCUGAUGUCACCGAGCACUAUUAAUGGUUUCCAGUUUAACUUAUCAUACAUUUUAUAACAUGAAUUAAUUUGAUUUUCCUGCUGAACCUUUUUUCUUCUCUUGCCUCUUUUAUUGGCCAUACA
rnacentral:misc_RNA from 1 species